rnacentral:rRNA from 1 species
AUUGAACGCUGGCGGCAGGCCUAACACAUGCAAGUCGAGCGGAUGAAGGGAGCUUGCUCCUGGAUUCAGCGGCGGACGGGUGAGUAAUGCCUAGGAAUCUGCCGGGUAGUGGGGGAUAACGUCCGGAAACGGGCGCUAAUACCGCAUACGUCCUGAGGGAGAAAGUGGGGGAUCUUCGGACCUCACGCUAUCAGAUGAGCCUAGGUCGGAUUAGCUAGUUGGUGGGGUAAAGGCCUACCAAGGCGACGAUCCGUAACUGGUCUGAGAGGAUGAUCAGUCACACUGGAACUGAGACACGGUCCAGACUCCUACGGGAGGCAGCAGCGGGGAAUAUUGGACAAUGGGCGAAAGCCUGAUCCAGCCAUGCCGCGUGUGUGAAGAAGGUCUUCGGAUUGUAAAGCACUUUAAGUUGGGAGGAAGGGCAGUAAGUUAAUACCUUGCUGUUUUGACGUUACCAACAGAAUAAGCACCGGCUAACUUCGUG